rnacentral:rRNA from 1 species
CUACGGGUUGCUGCAGUGGGGAAUUUUGGACAAUGGGCGAAAGCCUGAUCCAGCAAUGCCGCGUGUGUGAAGAAGGCCUUCGGGUUGUAAAGCACUUUUGUCCGGAAAGAAAUGGCUCUGGUUAAUACCUGGGGUCGAUGACGGUACCGGAAGAAUAAGGACCGGCUAACUACGUGCCAGCAGCCGCGGUAAUACGUAGGGUCCAAGCGUUAAUCGGAAUUACUGGGCGUAAAGCGUGCGCAGGCGGUUGUGCAAGACCGAUGUGAAAUCCCCGAGCUUAACUUGGGAAUUGCAUUGGUGACUGCACGGCUAGAGUGUGUCAGAGGGGAGUAGAAUUCCACGUGUAGCAGUGAAAUGCGUAGAGAUGUGGAGGAAUACCGAUGGCGAAGGCAGCCCCCUGGGAUAACACUGACGCUCAUGCACGAAAGCGUGGGGAGCAAACAGGAUUAGAUACCCUCGUAGUC